rnacentral:lncRNA from 1 species
CAAAAAUAUUCAGUAGUAGCUACUUUAUUCAAUAAAUCAGUCAGUCCAUUGUCAACCAAUAUUUAGAGUGUCUACCAUGGGCGGGGCACUGAUCUACAUACCUGGGACACAAGGAGGAUUACUGUGCUUGAGGAUAUUAUUUUCUAGUAGAAGGAGACAAGCAAUAAAUAGCUAACAGAAUUUAUGGGUGUAUUACAUAGCAUGUUAAGAUGAUUAGAAAAAAGAAAGUGCACAGCAAACAGUGUGUUCGGGAGUGCUGGGGGACAGAAUGAGGAAGUCCAUUGCAGAUUUAAAUGGGGUGGUCAAGGAGGGCUUCAUUGAGGAGACAUCUGAGCAAACAUUUCAGAGGUCAGAGAACUAGUCAUGAGGGCAUCGCAGGGAGAUGCAUGCCCAGUGGGGAGAGCAGUUCUUGCAAUGGCCCUAUAGCAGGAGUGCCUAGUUUGUUGGAGGAACAGCAAGAGGGACAUUGGGGCUGGAGCAGAGCAAAGCAAGGUGGAGAGUUGUAUGAGAAAGGGCCAGAGAGAGAACAGGGAGUGACAGUUUUGCAGUCUACCGUAAAGACCUUGGUGUUUAUUCCGAGUUAAAUAUGGAGGCUUUGAAAAAUUUUGAGCAGAGAGUGAAUAAGAUUCGACUUAUAUUUGAAAGGGAUCACUCUGUUGGUCAUAUUCAUAAUAGACUGAAUGGGAAGGCACGAGCAGAACCAGGGAGAGCAGUUAGAAGGCAAUUGCAAUAAUUCAGGGACAAGGUGAUGGUGGCUUAGACCAUUAUGGUGGCAUAGAAGUGGUGAGAAAUAGUCAGAUUUUAAACAUGCUUUGAAAGUAGAACCGAAGGAUGGUUGUGUUUGCUUCCUGGGAAGGGUUGAGCUUAUAACAAGCGUCUUGGUUGUGAAUUGAAUUCUGUUGAUGUAGUUGAAAUUCUGAGUGCUUGAGCCUCCUCACCUUUUCCAAUGAUGAAGAGAGAAUGCCUAGGGUAGCCAUCUUAGCUCAGUGUGGGCUCAUGUUUGACCCUCAUUAAGGAUGGGAAGAAUUUGUUCCAAAUAUGUGGGCUUCAUUUUGCAUCCUGUUGAUGGAUGUUCUUUAUCAUAAUAAGAAAUGUGUAUUUCAUGAAAUCAAAAGUUCCUUUGGUGAAGGAAGUCUGUUAUAGUCUUCAAAAACAUAAUUAUCAAAAUGGUUUGUUUACUAUAACGUUUAGAGUCAGUGUAAAAGAUCAAUGAAUGAAGUGGCUUCUAGAGACGGACAUGCCAGUUGCAAAUUUCCGUGCUGCUACGUAACUAGUUUAUCUUAUUUACUUUAUUAACCCUAUCUUAUAGCAUUGUCAGCAAUAAAGAAAUUUACAUAUCUGAAUAACUUGGAACUUUCUACAUAAUACUAUGCUAUUAGGAUUUAAUUAAAUGGAUGCCAACAGCAAGUAAACCAUCUCCAAAGAUGCCAUGAAGCUCUCCUAAUUGCAGGAAAAUAUCAGAGGCACUUGAUUUGAGUCUUUCAAGUACAGAAAUAACAAAUUCAGUCUCAACAGACCUAUAGUGAAUGAGAAUGAUUGUCACAUAAUGUGUAGAGAAAAUGGAAGAAUCAAAGGCAAGGCAAACCUGUACAGUGGAGACACAAAAGGUCACUGGCAGAUUUCAAAUGAUCCAAGACAUCCUCAAAAUCCUUCCAAACCACAAGGAAAAUCACCAGGCCAAAAGUGAGGUUUGAAGUCUGGACAUGUAC